CCGCACUACGUAGAAUUUAUAUAGUCUCCUUGCACGUAUCAGUGAACUCGCUAUCCCCCACCGCCCACCGGCCGCCCCCUCUGCUGCUGCCAGCAAGACGAGCCUUCGAACCUUCCAGUUCCAUCCAUCGCCGCCCUCCUCCUGAGGAGCAUCCGAAACAAGAGCAGCGGCAGCCGCCAACGCCCGCGCCCGCCAUCCCGACGAUGCGCCGACCCACACUCUCGCUCGCGCUCGGGCUCGGGCUCGGGCUCUCCCUCGUCGCCCUCUUCGCGGCCCGGGGCGCCCACGCCUCAAUCCACGAGUACGGCGGCGGCGACUUCGCGCCGCGGGCCAACUCCUUCUUCUUCCACGGUGGGAGCGAGGGGCUCUACGCGUCUGACCACUCGUCCAACUCCUCCGCAUCCUUCAUCAGAUUUGACACCGUUGUAUUUCGUCGCACCCUGGAGUCAGCAUCUAGGCAUGAGGAGAUGCAACAAAAGACAGGAUUGGUGGAGGCUAUAAUUGUUGAGAUACAGGAUAGAGGCAAAAUUGGAGGUUCAUAUCUGCACUCUGAUGCAAUAUGUUGCACACCUGAGCUUGAUAAGGAGAAAUCUUGUAGAGUAGGUGAGGUGAUCAUACGUCCAAAUCCUGAGAACCCCGACUGGCCUAAGAGGAUCCAGACAUUCUUUGAUGGUAAAAAUGAAGAAACCACUAUGGUAACUCAAAUUGUGUCGAUAAACAAAACUGGGAUGUAUUACCUCUAUUUUAUGUUCUGUGAUCCUCAACUUAAGGGAUUGAAGAUUACAGGAAGAACUGUUUGGAGAAAUCCACAGGGUUACCUUCCUGGUAAAAUGGCUCCAAUGAUGACAUUUUAUGGUUUCAUGUCACUUGCAUAUCUUGUACUUGGACUUCUAUGGUUCAUUCAGUUUGUGCGAUGCUGGAAGGACAUUUUGCAGCUGCAUUACCAUAUAACAGCUGUUAUUGCUCUUGGCAUGUGUGAAAUGGCUUUUUGGUAUUUUGAGUAUGCUAACUUUAAUUCAACUGGAACAAGACCUAUGGGCAUUACCUUGUGGGCAGUUACAUUUACAGCUGUGAAGAAGACUGUUUCUCGGCUUCUUCUAUUAGUAGUUUCAAUGGGCUAUGGUGUUGUUCUACCCACAUUGGGUGGCAUAACAUCAAGAGUUGCUGCUCUUGGUUUCAUCUAUUUUGUUGCUUCAGAAGCUCUUGAACUUGUUGAAAAUCUGGGAAAUAUCAAUGACUUCUCUGGAAAGACAAGGCUAUUCCUAGUGUUGCCUGUCGCUGUACUUGAUGCUACCUUUAUCAUCUGGAUAUUUUCAUCCCUCUCUAGAACUUUGGAGAAGCUGCAGCUGCGGAGAAGCAUGGCAAAACUUGAAUUAUAUAGAAAGUUUACAAAUUCUCUGGCUGUGUCAGUGCUUAUCUCAAUCGCUUGGAUUGGCUACGAGGUAUCUUUUAUCAACUCUAAAGUUCAUUUAUGUGGUCCAUGUAAUGUAGAUAUGAUAAAACGGUCAAAGGCAAUGGAAAGCAAUUGCAUCAUGGGAAUGAGCGGAGGAGCAAGAGCCAAGUUUUAUGUCGUUUUCCCUCUUCUAUGUGGUGAUCAUAAAAUAGCUAUAUUUCAAUGCAACUGACCCGUUGAGUGAACUUUGGCAACGGGCUUGGAUCAUCCCCUCCUUUUGGAAUGUCCUUUCCUAUGCCCUCCUCGGCAUCAUAUGCAUCCUUUGGUCUCCAUCUCGCAAUCCAACAGGGUUUGCAUAUUCAGAGGAUGCAGGUGAGGGAGCUGAUGAGGAAGGGCUCUCUCUAGUAGGCAGUGCGGUGAAAGGAACCGGAGAUAUGGUAAACAUGCAUAUCUUUCCGGAGGAUAAGCGUGCAUGAUAAGUUUUGGCCUGAAUGCAGCUGUACUCCUGGCAGAAUGCUAUGUGAAGUACCUUUUUCCUCUGGAUUCACGACUUAGCUGACAUCUUCUAAAGAUUGCGUAAGAUUCCAGAUGUACAGGUGGUGACUUGUGUUGAACGAUUUGACCAAGAGAUGUUUACUUCAGUUGUGGCUACCCAAUACAAAAAGGUCGGCAAAAUAAACUAUCACUGAGAGCAUAAGAGGGUUUGUCUUUGUAAUCCUUGUGAUGGUGACGUAGCUCGUAGGUGAUUGAAAUGUAUCAUUCCCAGAGCUGAGAUGUACUCACUCCGUUCCAAAUUAAAAUUCGUUUUUCUUUUUAUUAGAUUUAUACAAUAAUGUAUGUGUUAUAUAUAUAUAUAUUCAUAAUUAUCUA